rnacentral:ncRNA from 1 species
CGGUUGGCGGGAGGCUCUGACACGCGGUCCAAACCCGGCCGCCGGGACCGCGCCGAGCCACUGGCGAGACCGACCCCACCCG